rnacentral:rRNA from 1 species
GGAUGCGAUCAUACCAGCACUAAAGCACCGGAUCCCAUCAGAACUCCGAAGUUAAGCGUGCUUGGGCGAGAGUAGUACUAGGAUGGUUGACCUCCUGGGAAGUCCUCCUGUUGCAUUCC